rnacentral:rRNA from 1 species
GGAAUAUUGGACAAUGGGGGAAACCCUGAUCCAGCAACGCCGCGUGGAGGAUGAAGGUCUUCGGAUUGUAAACUCCUGUUAGGGGGGACGAAGGGUCGCUGGUGAAUAUCCAGCGAACUUGACGGUACCCCCCGAGGCAGCCCCGGCUCACUCUGGGCCCGCAGCCGCGGUAAUACCGAGGGGGCAAGCGUUAUUCGGAGUUAUUGGGCGUAAAGGGCGCGUAGGCGGCCCUGUAAGUCUUGGGUGAAAUCCCUCAGCUCAACUGAGGAACUGCCUCGGAUACUGCAGGGCUUGAGGCCGGGAGAGGGUAGUGGAAUUCCCAGUGUAGCGGUGAAAUGCGUAGAUAUUGGGAGGAACACCGGUGGCGAAGGCGGCUACCUGGACCGGUUCUGACGCUGAUGCGCGAAAGCGUGGGGAGCAAA